UACGUAGGGUGCAGGCGUUAAUCGGAAUUACUGGGCGUAAAGCGUGCGCAGGCGGUUUGUUAAGACAGAUGUGAAAUCCCCGGGCUUAACCUGGGAACUGCGUUUGUAACUGGCAAGCUAGAGUGUGGCAGAGGGGGGUGGAAUUCCAAGUGUAGCAGUGAAAUGCGUAGAGAUGUGGAGGAACACCGAUGGCGAAGGCAGCCCCCUGGGUCAAGAUUGACGCUCAUGCACGAAAGCGUGGGGAGCAAACAGG
rnacentral:rRNA from 1 species